rnacentral:rRNA from 1 species
UGACCUACGGGGGGCAGCAGUGGGGAAUAUUGCGCAAUGGGGGCAACCCUGACGCAGCAACGCCGCGUGCGGGAUGAAGGCUUUCGGGUUGUAAACCGCUUUCAGCAGGGAUGACAUCGACAGUACCUGCAGAAGAAGCCCCGGCUAACUACGUGCCAGCAGCCGCGGUAAUACGUAGGGGGCGAGCGUUAUCCGGAUUCAUUGGGCGUAAAGAGCGCGCAGGCGGGGCUGCAAGCAGGGGCUUUAAUCUUGGGGCUUAACAUCAAGUC